rnacentral:rRNA from 1 species
AUUGAACGCUGGCGGCAUGCCUUACACAUGCAAGUCGAACGGCAGCACGGGGCAACCUGGUGGCGAGUGGCGAACGGGUGAGUAAUGCAUCGGAACGUACCCGGAAGUGGGGGAUAACGUAGCGAAAGUUACGCUAAUACCGCAUAUUCUGUGCGCAGGAAAGAGGGGGAUCUUCGGACCUCUUGCUUUCGGAGCGGCCGAUGUCAGAUUAGCUAGUUGGUGAGGUAAAGGCUCACCAAGGCGACGAUCUGUAGCGGGUUUGAGAGGAUGAUCCGCCACACUGGGACUGAGACACGGCCCAGACUCCUACGGGAGGCAGCAGUGGGGAAUUUUGGACAAUGGGCGCAAGCCUGAUCCAGCCAUGCCGCGUGAGUGAAGAAGGCCUUCGGGUUGUAAAGCUCUUUCGGCCGGGAAGAAAUCGCGUGAGUUAAUACCUUGCGUGGAUGACGGUACCGGAGUAAGAAGCACCGGCUAACUACGUGCCAGCAGCCGCCGUAAGAC